rnacentral:tRNA from 1 species
CGCGGGCGUGAGCGGGUACGACGGUAAGUGUGGUGCUUGGCCUUCAGGCUCAUAACCUGAAGGUCGCAGGUUCAAAUCCUGCUCCCGCAACCA